rnacentral:misc_RNA from 1 species
GUACCCUCAGAAAGAUAAGGGUUCCUGUCCGUGAUUGGCAGAAGCAGAUGUUUGAAAUGAGUAAAGGCAUCUGCAGCUAAACUGACUUCAGAUUCUUGUGCCUUAGCCUUGGCUUUAUGUCCAAUUCUUUGGAGUCUGGGAAAGAUAGAGAGUUUUCGGGAGUUAGAUCCAAUAGAAAACGAAGAGAGAGAUAAAGACAGGGACUCAGCAGCAGCAGCAGCAGCAGAAGGAGAAGAAAAAGAAUUGGGAAUUGUAGUUUUUGGGUGAUUUGAAGUAUCAACAGGAACAGCUAGCAAGCAGUGAGCAAACGCCAUGGACAAAAGCUGCGCGCGCAAUACAGAGAAGAAGAGCCUGAAAAGCGCGAGAAGGGAAGCGAAGAGGAGAAGAACGAGAAGGAUUGGGCUGUUUCGAGAAAGUGCAGUGACAGUGAAGUGAAGAAAUGAUUGCAUGUGCGCGAC